GCAUGUCGGUGGAAACGUGUUGGAACGAGGUGCAGGAUAUUCUCUGCAGGAAGGAAUGACACUUGCACUUUAGUGGGAAGACGGGCGAUGGGGAGGCCACUUCUGGUAGAGGAAGGAAGAACCUCAGGAGCCGAUUAAUGAACGAAUCAAAAGCUCAGAUUUUGGGCAGACGGGUGGGAUUCCGUACGUCUACGGAACACAUCGUGGAGACGUAUGGAUUCGUACGGUGGCCUGAGAAAGACAGACACACUCGCUCCUCCUCUUUGUUCCAUUAAUCUGUGGGAGCAGGGAAACGAUACUGGAGCAGACACCUCCCACCCCCCCGUUGCCUGUUUCCCUUUCCUGAAGAGAAUGGCUGUGGCAUCUGGAAAAACAGGAUUCAUGCGCGCAGGUCCAUGUAGAUUAGGCCCAACAUCACUUUAGG
ensembl:lncRNA